GGGGAAUAUUGCGCAAUGGGGGGAACCCUGACGCAGCAACGCCGCGUGAGUGAAGAAGGUUUUCGGAUCGUAAAGCUCUGUCAUCGGGGACGAAGAAUGACGGUACCCGAAGAGGAAGCCCCGGCUAACUACGUGCCAGCAGCCGCGGUAAUACGCAGGGGGCGAGCGUUGUCCGGAAUUACUGGGCGUAAAGGGUGCGUAGGCGGCCUGAUAAGUCAGAUGUGAAAUACCAGGGCUUAACCCUGGGGGUGCAUUUGAAACUGUCGGGCUUGAGUGCAGGAGAGGAAAGCGGAAUUCCUAGUGUAGCGGUGAAAUGCGUAGAUAUUAGGAGGAACACCAGUGGCGAAGGCGGCUUUCUGGACUGUAACUGACGCUGAGGCACGAAAGCGUGGGUAGCGAAC
rnacentral:rRNA from 1 species